UACGGAGGGAGCUAGCGUUGUUCGGAAUUACUGGGCGUAAAGCGCACGUAGGCGGCUUUGUAAGUCAGAGGUGAAAGCCUGGAGCUCAACUCCAGAACUGCCUUUGAGACUGCAUCGCUUGAAUCCAGGAGAGGUGAGUGGAAUUCCGAGUGUAGAGGUGAAAUUCGUAGAUAUUCGGAAGAACACCAGUGGCGAAGGCGACUCACUGGCCCGAUACUGACGCUGAGGCGCGAAAGCGUGGGGAGCAACAGG
rnacentral:rRNA from 1 species